GGAGGAGUACCCAAGUGGCUGAAGGGGCUUGUUUCGAAAACUAGUAGACCAGAAAUGGUGCAGGGGUUCAAAUCCCCUCUCCUCCGCCA
rnacentral:tRNA from 1 species